AAUGGUAGCUCCCUUCAUUGCCCUUCUCCGUGGAAACAAGAUCUAACAGGAAAGAAGUUCCGGAGGCUCAGAGAAGCCCUAAGGAGGGGUACGGUGGAGCCCAAAGGAGGUGGGUGAGCGGGCGGCGGCUGAGCCCUGCAGCCUUGGGGCGAGAUGACGCCAUGGGGUCCCCAGGCAGCAGCGACUGUGGGUGCAGCACUGAGCACUUCCAGCAUCUCAACUUAGAAAGCUGUGGCCUUUUCUCUGAAAAGAAAAGACUGUGGCUGCUGGCGACCUUGGUUGCCUGCUGUGCUUCACAAGACAAGACGGAAGAGACACCCAGGGGACGUGAGGGGGCUCCAGAAUGAGAAAGCGGCCCUGCACCAGCCCCAGCCCCUAGCAUGGCAGAGUUUGGAAACUGAGGCUCUGGUGAAUGAAGUGAGUUACCCAAGGUCAUCUCAGAGAGCCUCCUUAACAUGAAGGAGUUGACAGAAGAUGGACAGAAAGGGAAAGGAGAUGGUGCCUGCUGGUGCGGCGUGUGAACUCUAAGCCAAGAUGCAAACUUCUGUUGUCACUUUUCCAAGAGGAAACAGAGGCUUUCAGUGCCCACCUCUCCUCCCCUCACCCCAUCCUCCUGCGUCUACAACUGCAGAUGACAAGAGGCCCUGGCCAGGCAAGUGGAAGCCCCUGAAGGCUGUGACACAAGGAGUUCACCGGAGUGCUCAUCUACUUCCUUCUUUCAUGCAAAUGCAGUCUGACCUGCCCUCCCGACUGCAGGUCCCCCAGGUACACAGGGAUCAAAGUAAGUGGUGUCUCCCUGCUACCAAGCAUUCUCUUGAUGAAUUGGGCAGAUCACUUUUAUUUCCUUGAGCCCCAAACUAGGAAAUACCAGCAUUAUUGACCUUUGUCACCAAAUGGGUGUGACUUACUUUAAAGCAGUAAAUAUGUUUGUGUAUGUGUGGAGGGGGUGGACAGGGGCUUUCCUGUCCAUGGACCCCUGUCUAUGCCCCUUACCGUGUAUCCAGCAGUUACAUAUGCAGUCCCAGGUGGUCACACUUGGUCAGCAUGCCAACUCUGUCAUUUUGGGACCACUCAACUGCUUGGAUCCUCAGUUUUCCUACCUGUGAAAUGAGCAUGAUCACAUUUCCUUUGUAGCCGUGUGAAUGAAAAGGGACAAUACAUAGAGCCAGCACACAGUAAGGACACAAUACAUGAUAUUACUGUUAUCUUUGUUAAUAUCAGUAGAAUAACUGCCGGGACUUGAGACUCCAUCGGAACUGUAAGCUCACUCCAUGCUCUGCCUCGACACACUCAAAAGGCCUCAGGGCCAACACCCUUUCAUUUCCAGGCACACGCAGUGCCCCCUUCCAAAGUUCCACAGUUUGAGAAGGAAAGAACUGCCAAAGAAAAUCCAACGGCAUGGUUUUCCUAUCAAAGAGAAAAAGAAAGAAUGCAAAACAGUUGCCGGAACACACCAUUUUUUGUCCAGGGACUUCCUAAAAGUCGAAGGGCCUUUCCACAGUACUCCGGGCCCAUGCUUGCCACCAGGCCAUUUCCCAGCAGAUGCGGCUGGGCUGGUGUCCCCUGCCAGAUUCUGGGGAUAGGGCAGGGAAGGCCUGGCCAGGUACAGGCGUGCCCAAGGCCUUAUCUUCCGGGCCUCGCUGGCCUGCAGCGAAGGCAGAGCAGGCUUUGGGCUGCACCCAGCAUUCCCAGGAAGAAGCCCUGUUCUCCUCCAGAGCAGAGACGAAGGCUCCCCCAGCACCCCGGGCCUCCUGCCGCCAUGCUCCUCGCAGAGAUCAGCUCUUGCCAGUGGGCCAAAGCCCCUUUUCCUCACCGUGCCUCCCGGCCUGUUCUGCUCUCUCAUCUGGGCAGAGCCCAGCCUUCAUCCAACGCCCUCCCCGCGUGCUGGGGAAGGACACCCGAUCCUGCUGGUGCGGCAGGGACAAGGUGCUGGACCCAUCGCUGGAGCUCCCUGAGGGCGGGGGACGCUCAGAUUCAUCUGCGAUGGCAGCUGCCAACACCCCCCUCCUGGCACACAGUAGGUGCCCAAAACCGAGAGCUAGUUAAGCAGCUUAUCCGGUCCUGGAGCAAUUAGAUGAGGGAAGCAGAAGAGAUCAGCCCUCACUAAGUAGAAGCCAGCGCUAGGAGUAAUAUUAUCUCUUUUAAUCCUCAUGCUAACCCUGCAAAGUAGGUCUUCUUAGACCCACUUCAUAGACAGACAAACUGAGGCUUAGAAAUAACUUUACCAAAGUUCCAGGGGUAGAAAGUGACAGCACUGGAACUGGAACUAGGUUCAUCUGACUCUCUCCCGUGGUAGCCCCUGCCUCUCAGGAAAGGGGAUGUGAGUGUCCACGCUGACAGGCCUUCAGCCUGCACACCUGGCCCACAGGUGCACCCAGCAAUGUGCCCGGCAUGGGAAGGGAGAAUAAGAACUCUACACCCUCCACGGUCCCCCAUUCUGACUGGGAAGACAAUGCAGGGAGAAAAAGCAGAGUGAGGAUAACAGGAAGUGGCGUUGAGGAGCUUGGGGCGGGCGGGGCAGAGGACACGGCCUGACUGUGAUCGGUGAGUUAGCACAAAAGGGCUCUGGACAUCCAGGGCCACACAAAUGCCAGGUGCUAACUCCCCUCAUCUUCUCGGGAGUCAGGAAAAGUCCACACAGGAGGGGCUUCUAAAAUCCAGAUGGAUUGAGGGAGUAAAGGAAUAAUUUUAAAAAGUAGUGCUGCCAUUUAUAAAUUGCCUACACUGUCCAGAUACUCUUCUGGGCACUGUAGAUACAUAAUUGUAUUUAAUCCUCACAAAACUGCAAGAGACAAGAGUUAUAAUUCCCAUUUUACAGAUGAGAAAAUUGAGGUUCAGGUCAGGGAAAUGACCACAUAGCUGCUAAGCGGCAGAGUCAGAAUUUGCACUCAUGUCUGACUGUUUCCAAUGACUGUUCAGCUCAUGAGCCUCAAAAACUACAGGUGCCAAGUAGGUUACACAAAUGAGGCUAGCAGGGUGGGAGUAAAAGGAAGAGGUGGAGACGGCAGGAAACCCAAGCGCACGGGCUCUGUCUAAAGGGGCAGCUUCUCCCCAGCUUCAGGCAAUGCUUGCCAUUUGAGAAUGCAGACCCUGUGCGGCCAGAUCUUUCCAUUUCAAGAUAAGCUAUAAAUAAUUUCUGUUUCUGGGUGUAAAAUCAGACUUUUAAAUGUCAGAGAAUAAUUUUUAAAUUGUUU